rnacentral:rRNA from 1 species
UACGUAGGGUGCAAGCGUUGUCCGGAAUUAUUGGGCGUAAAGAGCUCGUAGGCGGUCUGUCGCGUCUGCUGUGAAAACUCAGGGCUUAACCCUGAGCUUGCAGUGGGUACGGGCAGACUAGAGUGCGGUAGGGGAGACUGGAAUUCCUGGUGUAGCGGUGAAAUGCGCAGAUAUCAGGAGGAACACCGAUGGCGAAGGCAGGUCUCUGGGCCAUAACUGACGCUGAGAAGCGAAAAGCAUGGGGGAGCGAACAGG